rnacentral:rRNA from 1 species
UCAUUACCGAGUGAGGGCCCUCUGGGUCCAACCUCCCACCCGUGUUUAUUUUACCUUGUUGCUUCGGCGGGCCCGCCUUAACUGGCCGCCGGGGGGCUCACGCCCCCGGGCCCGCGCCCGCCGAAGACACCCUCGAACUCUGUCUUGAAGAUUGAAGUCUGAGUGAAAAUAUAAAUUAUUUAAAACUUUCAACAACGGAUCUCUUGGUUCCGGCAUCGAUGAAGAACGCAGCGAAAUGCGAUACGUAAUGUGAAUUGCAAAUUCAGUGAAUCAUCGAGUCUUUGAACGCACAUUGCGCCCCCUGGUAUUCCGGGGGGCAUGCCUGUCCGAGCGUCAUUGCUGCCCUCAAGCCCGGCUUGUGUGUUGGGCCCCGUCCUCCGAUUUCCGGGGGACGGGCCCGAAAGGCAGCGGCGGCACCGCGUCCGGUCCUCGAGCGUAUGGGGCUUUGUCACCCGCUCUGUAGGCCCGGCCGGCGCUUGCCGAUCAACCCAAAUUUUUAUCCAGGUUGACCUCGGAUCAGGUAGGGAUACCCGCUGAACUUAAGCAUAUCAAUAAGCGGAGGA